rnacentral:rRNA from 1 species
UGAANUUAAAGGCUGUGGCUUAACCAUAGUACGCUUUGGAAACUGUUUAACUUGAGUGCAGAAGGGGAGAGUGGAAUUCCAUGUGUAGCGGUGAAAUGCGUAGAUAUAUGGAGGAACACCGGUGGCGAAAGCGGCUCUCUGGUCUGUAACUGACGCUGAGGCUCGAAAGCGUGGGGAGCGAACAGGAUUAGAUACCCUGGUAGUCCACGCCGUAAACGAUGAGUGCUAGGUGUUAGGCCCUUUCCGGGGCUUAGUGCCGCAGCUAACGCAUUAAGCACUCCGCCUGGGGAGUACGACCGCAAGGUUGAAACUCAAAGGAAUUGACGGGGGCCCGCACAAGCGGUGGAGCAUGUGGUUUAAUUCGAAGCAACGCGAAGAACCUUACCAGGUCUUGACAUCCCGAUGCCCGCUCUAGAGAUAGAGUUUUACUUCGGUACAUCGGUGACAGGUGGUGCAUGGUUGUCGUCAGCUCGUGUCGUGAGAUGUUGGGUUAAGUCCCGCAACGAGCGCAACCCUUAUUGUUAGUUGCCAUCAUUCAGUUGGGCACUCUAGCGAGACUGCCGGUAAUAAACCGGAGGAAGGUGGGGAUGACGUCAAAUCAUCAUGCCCCUUAUGACCUGGGCUACACACGUGCUACAAUGGCUGGUACAACGAGUCGCAAGUCGGUGACGGCAAGCUAAUCUCUUAAAGCCAGUCUCAGUUCGGAUUGUAGGCUGCAACUCGCCUACAUGAAGUCGGAAUCGCUAGUAAUCGCGGAUCAGCACGCCGCGGUGAAUACGUUCCCGGGCCUUGUACACACCGCCCGUCACACCACGAGAGUUUGUAACACCCGAAGUCGGUGAGGUAACCUUUUAGGAGC